GAAGGCCCAGACAGCCAGGAUGUUGGCUUAGAAGCAGCCAUCAUUUAAAGAAAGCGUAAUAGCUCACUGGUCGAGUCGGCCUGCGCGGAAGAUGUAACGGGGCUAAACCAUGCACCGAAGCUGCGGCAGCGACACUGUGUGUUGUUGGGUAGGGGAGCGUUCUGUAAGCCUGUGAAGGUGUGUCGUGAGGCAUGCUGGAGGUAUCAGAAGUGCGAAUGCUGACAUAAGUAACGAUAAAGCGGGUGAAAAGCCCGCUCGCCGGAAGACCAAGGGUUCCUGUCCAACGUUAAUCGGGGCAGGGUGAGUCGACCCCUAAGGCGAGGCCGAAAGGCGUAGUCGAUGGGAAACGGGUUAAUAUUCCCGUACUUGGUGUUACUGCGAAGGGGGGACGGAGAAGGCUAUGUUGGCCGGGCGACGGUUGUCCCGGUUUAAGCGUGUAGGUGUGUGUUCCAGGUAAAUCCGGUUCACUUUAACACUGAGGCGUGA
rnacentral:rRNA from 1 species